GUGUAAGUGCAGCGAUGCAUUGAGCUAACCAGUACUAAUGAUCCGUGAGGCUUAACCUUACAACACCGAAGGUGUU
rnacentral:rRNA from 3 species